rnacentral:rRNA from 1 species
UACGUAGGGUGCAAGCGUUGUCCGGAAUUAUUGGGCGUAAAGAGCUCGUAGGCGGUUUGUCGCGUCUGCUGUGAAAACCUAAGGCUCAACCUUGGGCUUGCAGUGGGUACGGGCAGACUAGAGUGCGGUAGGGGUGACUGGAAUUCCUGGUGUAGCGGUGGAAUGCGCAGAUAUCAGGAGGAACACCGAUGGCGAAGGCAGGUCUCUGGGCCACUACUGACGCUGAGAAGCGAAAGCAUGGGGAGCGAACAGG